rnacentral:rRNA from 1 species
UACAGAGGUCCCAAGCGUUGUUCGGAUUCACUGGGCGUAAAGGGUGCGUAGGUGGUUGAGUAAGUCUAAUGUGAAAUCUCCGAGCCUAACUCGGAAACUGCAUCGGAUACUAUUCGGCUAGAGGAUUGGAGGGGAGACUGGAAUACUUGGUGUAGCAGCGAAAUGCGUAGAUAUCAAGUGGAACACCAGUGGCGAAGGCGAGUCUCUGGACAAUUCCUGACACUGAGGCACGAAAGCUAGGGGAGCAAACAGG